GCCAGUACCUGUUUUCUUUACAGCAUCGGACUGUAGGGGAAAUCUGUCUGAUAUCAGAGAAUUUAAAAUGAAGCACUUCCAAAGGUGAUUCGGCUUAUAGGGUUGUUGUGGGAACAGGAUCUGACACUUGAUAAGAACGCAAUAAACAUCAUCUGGAAAACGAGUUCGGAGGAGACGCCAUUCAGAUGCCAACAACCUGAAGUUAUCCUGAGAACAAACGUCACUGCCAUGGAAACAGUAAGAGAAACAAACAAUGCGUGCACUGUAUAAAAUUGUCCAUAAAGGCUGUUUAUUUUUCAUACCAUUAUUUUAAUAGGUGGGGAUGGUAGUGAUGGGCUGGAGGAACAGCAGGCUUUAAUGGUGCCGCUAACGUUGCCUGUUCUUACAAUGACUUCAAAUGCUCACAAACAUUCAGCCAUUGGCACUUAGAUCAUGUCUCUGGCUGGGAACUCCCGCUGGUUUAGAAUCUCACUGCCAGGAAGCAUCACCUGUUCCUGGAACUGAAAGGCAGUAUGGCCAAGUGGUUAUAGACUCAAGCCAGAGGUCAGACAGCCCUGGGUUCCAGUCCUACUUCUGUCAUACUUACUGAUUGGUGACUGUUGGCAAAUUUCAUUACCCCUCCGAGCCUCUGUUUACUCAUCUGCGAAGUGGAAAUACAGUCGUUCAUUUAUUCCUUCAUUUGAAAAUUAACAAGACUUCACUGAAAACUUGCUAUGUGCUUUGUUCUAAGGGUCCUGGCAUUCAUUGAGCCUAAAGUCUAGUGGGAGAACAGAGAUAAUAUACCUGCAAACACAUAAAUAAGAGAGAUCAUUGUAGAUAGUGAUAUAGGCUAAGAAAGAUUUAAAGCCAAGGUUGCUCUCUCUGAUGAGAUGCCAGUCUAGCCGGCCACAGAAAGAGGAGAAAGAGCCAGCUGCUUAUAUAUCAGAAGGAAAGGCCUUCCAGGCAGGGGCACAGCAAGAGGGAAGUCCUGGAAAGAUCUAAGAUUAGAAUCCUUGCAGCUGGGGCUUUAUAAAAGGAGGUACGAGAUAAGGCCAAAUAGGGAGGAGAGACCAGUUCAGACGGGUCCUAUAGGAUAAGGUAGGAGUUUGGGUUAUAAUAAUACUAACCUUCUAGAGUGGUUGUAAGGAUUACAUGAAAUAUCAAGUGGUAAACUCUAAGCAGCUGCUUAAAAAAAGUCAGCUUUUACUUUCAUCAAGACAACCAUAGUAGAACUCAUCAUCUCUUGGGUCUAGUUGCUGACAUCAUAGAAUUAUUGAAUUUCAGAACUGAGAGAUCAUUUUUCCUAAUUUUUCAUAUGGGUGAAUUAAGGAUCAGAGUGGGCAAGGGACUUACAGAAGUCACACAGGACUUAGUGGUGGAGGCUCUGGGCUUUCCAAUUUCCACCCACUGUCCAUUGAGCUCAAGCCCAUGCCAUGAUCUCUAUGGGGAAAUUCCUUGGCUUCUGUUUCUGCUGGGUGGUACUUCCUUCUAGGGGACAGUGUGGGGUCAUGAAAAACCAUAGACUUGGUGCUGUGAGUGUGUGGCUUCUCCCUGUGAGCCUCGGAGGCUCCGCAGACAUUAGUCCUUCUUCCCUCCUCCUGACACAGAGGCUGUGUCUGUCCUCUUGUGUCCUCCCUGGCACAGAGGCUGGGCUUUGACUGGGGAGCUGAGAGAAAGGACAGGCUAUUGAUCAGUAGGGACCUGACCCAGUCUGGCCUUUUCAAUAUUCCAUACUAAGAGAGGGGUGAGAUUUGAGAGGAAGUCGAAGGGCUGGAGAAUGUUCCUGUAAUUGAACAGAACAGUGCUGCCUCAGUUAAUUUUGAGUGAGGAGGCUCACACAAAAAAAUGGGUCAGAUUGACCAAGCCCCUGAUGGGUUUGGAAGUUUUACUUAUUCUGCACCCUUAACCCCAGCUGGACUUUCCUCUGGGUCUAGACAUCCAUGAAGACACCUAAUAAACCCUAUGAGAGAAGAGAUUUUUCUAGUAUUUGGGUUCCAUUUUUCAUGUACAAUUUAUAUAAUACUUAAUCGUUGCUCCUGUUUAUUGAGCACCUGCUACAGGCUGGGUAAUCAGUUCAGCACUGAACAUGCAUCCCCUCUUUUACUCCCAUAACAACCCUAGGAACUAGUUACUAAUAUUCUUCACCUUAAACGACACGUAAAUCGACUUUUAAAAGUUACUCACAUAGGAGAGAGCUCUGAUACGUCUGACUCCAAAUAAACCUGCUGAUUCCAAAGGGCACAUGGACUUGUGGGGUCCCCAAACACAAAAGUCUUAGAAAAACCCAUAGAUGUGUGUCGCUGUGCUGAUGCAGCCUGUUCUUUAUGGACUGAAAAAUGUAUGUGUUACAGUUUCUAAUGCCAACAGAGUGUAUAAAUAUACACAGUAUCUUUAAUUGAUUUUUCUUCUCACCUUUGAGGCCCAAGAACAUAACCCUUAGUCAGGAAAAUAUCCCAGCUGGGUUUGCAGGAACUUGACUGUGGGGGCCCGAUCCAAUCCAAUAUGUUUGUCCCUCUCUUUCAGUCUCCUCCACAUUCCUGAUGGUGCACCGGUUUUCCUUCCUGUCUGGCCAACAAGCCUCUGGAGAAUGGCCAUCCAUCUUAUAGGCUCACUUUGUAUUCUGUAAACUUUCAGUUUGAAAAUAAACGCACUGUUUCCCUGUCAAA